AGCGAGACUAGAGUCACAUCCUGACACCCAAUUAUUGUCCUGAUGUGCUAGAGUCCUCGCAGAACAAAUUUCUCUGCUUAUUCAUUGGCUGCUGCCUGACAUGCUACAGCCAAUCACCUGCUUAGAUACAAUA
ensembl:snoRNA small nucleolar RNA SNORA3/SNORA45 family